rnacentral:lncRNA from 1 species
UUUUUCCCAGUGGCCAAUAUUUGAUUCUGUUGUAUCAUGGCUAAAAGGUAGGCAUGGCAACAAAAUAAAGACAGGAAGUCUUUGGAAUAAGUGAUCCCAUCACAAUGAAUCAAUUUGCCAUUGGAACAUAUUUUUACAAAGUCACUCUUUUGAAAAUAUUUAGCUAUGAAUUAAAACAGAGUCUGUAUGGUUAAUAUUUUUCCUGGUCUAAGGUGAACAGCAUUUUAGAGAAUGAACUCAGGACACAACCACAGCACAAGAAAAACGUGAUAAUUAAGUUUACACAUAUGUGUUACUACUGCAACAGAAAACAUGUAAAGAACAUUUGAUUUAUGUAUCAGUCUGCACUGUUUAAUUUUUUGUGUCAUAAAUACUCUUAUUUAAAAAAACAGGACUAGUUAACAGUGUCAAUUACUAGUAAUUCAUGGUAUAAAUAAUUAAACAAGGAAGUGUUCAAAAAAAACAGUGUUUUAAAUAAAGUUUUAUUUUACAUCAUCUUUUUUACUUACACAGAAAUUGUCAAAAAAAAGCAGAGAUUUCCCAUGUAGCCGCAACCUAGUUUCCUCUCUUAUUAACAUCUUCUAUCAGUGUGUCUCACAUGGCUUAUUAAUAUCUUACAUAAUUUGUCACAGUUAAUGAACCAAUACUGAUAGACUAUUAUUAACUGAAGUUCAUAUUUCAUUUGGAUUCCCUUAGUUCUAUCUUACUCUGACCCAGGAUCCCAUCCAGGAUACCGCAUGACAUGUAGACAUCACGUGGGCUCUUCCUGGCUGUGACAGUGUGUCAGGCUUUCCAUCUCAUGAUGACCUUCAUAGCACUGAGGAGGAUUGGUCAGGAAUGUUGUAGAAUGUCCCCCAUUGUCACUUCGUGUUCUCAAGGUGAACUGUCACCUUUGAUGUUCACUUGGAUCAUUUGGCAGAGCUACUGUUUGUCAGAUUUCUCCACUGUGAAGUUAUUUUUCCUCCUUGUCCGUACUGCAUGUGUUCUUUUGGAGCAAGUCACUAUGCAGAGCCUCACUCCGUAAGGAGUUGGCUCCACCUUCUUGACGGCUGAGUGUCUACAUCAAUUAUUUGGAAUUCUUUUGCAAAGGAGAUUUCUAUGCAACUCCAUUUGCUUAUUCACCUAGGUAUACAAAUACAGACACCUAGAUAAUUACUUUAAGGUUUAGUUAUUAUUCAACACUACAGUAUUAUGUUGCACAAUUCAUUCCUGUGUUGGCCAUCAGUAGCUGUUUUUAUUGGCUCUUAUUUUUCUUUGAUAUGUUUUAACUUUUUUAGUACUUACUUUCUGAUACUUCCAGAUUAUCCUGGCUCCUAUAUUUACUGUCCCAGUUCUAGUAUCAGACAUUUCUUCAAAGAGCCUGAUUCCUUUCAGAAUGGUAGGAAAACUUACAUCUGGCUGCUGAAUGAGCACAUUGUAUCUUCUCCCUCAUUGGCAAUGCUAGGAAGUAUAUGUGUGUGUCUAACCUACCUAUACACACCUAAUUAUAAAGUUUUCUAUGUAGAACUGUGUGUGUCUAUAUUAAACUAAACAUAAGUUUACGUUGAUGUCUCCACCUCUGAUCUACUAUCACAUGAAUCAUUCUAGCCUUCUCGCCUUGCUAAUUUGUAACCUCCCACUUCAACAGUAAGAAACCUGGUUCCCACCAUCUGCGACUUAUAUGGCACCGAAAGCGAAGGAAGCUCCUGCUCCUCCUAAAGCCGAAGCCAAAGCGAAGGCUUUAAAGGCCAAGAAGGCAGUGUUGAAAGGUGUCCGCAGCCACA